UACAGAGGGUGCGAGCGUUAAUCGGAAUUACUGGGCGUAAAGCGCGCGUAGGUGGUCUUGUAAGUCGGAUGUGAAAGCCCCGGGCUCAACUCGGGAACUGCAUUCGAGACUGCAAAACUAGAGUAUGGGAGAGGCAGUGGAAUUUCCGGUGUAGCGGUGAAAUGCGUAGAUAUCGGAAGGAACACCAGUGGCGAAAGCGACUGCCUGGCCCAAUACUGACACUCAUGUGCGAAAGCGUGGGGAGCAAACAGG
rnacentral:rRNA from 1 species